rnacentral:rRNA from 1 species
AUGGCUCCUCAAGUUUUUCACACCCAAUCUCUGAUUGCUCCAUCCCACCAUGCACUGUUUCUUCUCUGUGCCAUCCUCAUAUUUCUGUCCUCCAACACAAUAGUAUCCACAUCAGCACAAGCUAGCAACAAAUCCGAGAGUGACCGGCAAGCUCUUCUCUGCUUCAAAUCUGGCAUCUCCAGGGAUCCUGCCGGUGUUCUUGGAUCAUGGCGCAACGACUCACUUCACUUCUGCAGCUGGCAAGGGGUCAACUGCAGCUCUACCAUCCCAAUCCGUGUCGUGUCCAUCCAAUUCAGGUCUACGCAACUCACAGGAACACUAUCCAGUUGCAUAGCAGCCCUUAGUUCUCUAGUACAGAUGGACCUUCCAAACAAUAAAUUUUCUGGAAGCAUACCUGAUGAGAUAGGUGAGCUUCGGAGCCUCCAAUCCCUGAAUCUUUUUGGCAACAACCUUGCAGGUAACAUCCCUCUGUUGUUAGGAGCAUCUGCAUCUCUUACCCAUGUCAAUCUUGCAUUCAAUAUUCUUAGUGGAUUUAUCCCUGAUUCCUUAGCAAAUAGUUCGUCACUCAGUGAGAUAAUCCUCACAGGUAAUAACUUAUCUGGGGUGAUCCCAGCUAAUUUGUUCAACUCGUCCAAACUUGUUACUGUUGACCUCCGGUCGAAUGCUAUCUCCGGGGCUAUCCCAAAUUUCCCAAAGAUGUCAGCUCUGCAGUUUCUCGAUCUUACAGGGAAUUCACUUUCUGGUACCAUACCAGCAUCUUUGGGAAAUGUUUCAUCUUUGCAUUCUCUCCUGCUAGCACAAAACAACUUAGCAGAAUCAAUUCCGGAAACUUUGGGUCAAAUUCCAAACCUAACAAUGCUAGAUCUAAGUUACAAUAGAUUCUCAGGGUAUAUCCCAGCCACACUGUACAACAUGUCAUCACUUGCGCUCUUUAUCUUAGGCAGCAACGGUUUUAUUGGACAGAUACCUUCUGAAAUUGGCCACUCACUUCCAAAUCUCCAAACAUUGGUAAUGGAAGGCAACCAUUUUCAUGGAUCAAUCCCAGAUUCUCUGAGCAACAUGUCAAAGCUUCAGGUGCUUGAUCUUUCAAGUAACUUGCUGUCUGAUGUGGUGCCUUCUCUAGGAUCCUUGGCAAACUUGAGUGAACUGCUUCUAGGAAAUAAUACACUAGAAGCUGGUGACUGGGCAUUCCUUGUCUCUCUCACCAGUUGCUCAAGCUUGUUAAGAUUAUCAGUGGAUGGGAAUAUCCUGAAUGGAAGUUUGCCAAAAGCAGUGGGCAACCUUUCAACAAAGCUGGAGCGGUUAAACUUUGGAGGAAACCAGAUUUCAGGAAACAUACCAGCUGAGAUAGGCAACCUUAUAAACCUCGCUCUGCUUGACAUGAGCCAGAACAUGCUCUCAGGACAAAUUCCCCUGGCAGUUUGGAACUUGAGCAACUUAAUUGUCCUGAAACUUUCCAUGAAUAGGUUGUCAGGUAAAAUUCCAUCAACAGUUGGUAAUCUUGCUCAACUCAGCCAGCUUUAUCUUGAUGAAAAUGAAUUGUCUGGAAACAUACCAGCAAAUAUAGGACAAUGCAAAAGGCUGCUUGUGCUAAACAUGUCAGUCAACCACCUUGAUGGAUCCAUACCAGGAGAACUCUUCAGUAUUUCCUCCCUUUCAUUGGGUUUGGACUUGUCAAACAACAACCUGACAGGGCCGAUACCUUCGGAAGUUAGUAACCUGAUCAAUCUUGGCCUCCUUAAUGUUUCCAACAACAAAUUAUCUGGUAGCCUUCCUUCUGAACUUGGCCUGUGUGUUCAACUGCUAUCUCUUCAGAUCGAAAGCAACAUGCUUAAUGGGAGUAUUCCCGAGUCUUUCAGCGCACUGAAGGUCAUACAGAAGAUAGAUCUGUCCGAGAACAAUUUAACUGGUCAAGUUCCACUGUAUUUUGGCAACUUCAGCAGCUUAGAUUAUAUUAAUAUAUCAUACAACAAAUUUGAAGGGCCAAUCCCGACUGGUGGAAUAUUUGGAAAUUCAGCUGCAGUAUUCCUGGAAGGCAACACAGGCUUAUGUGAAACAGCUGCUGCCAUAUUUGGAUUGCCUAUUUGCCCAACCUCCUCAGAAACAAAAAGGAAGAUCAAUACACGCCUGCUGCUGAUAAUAGCUCCACCGGCUACUAUUGCUCUGUUCUCAUUUUUAUGUGUUGCUGUCACUGUUAUGAAAGGGACCAAAACUCAACCAUCUGAAAACUUCAUGGAGACAAUGAAGAGAGUGUCAUAUGGUGACAUUCUUAAAGCGACCAACUGGUUCUCUCUGGUCAACAGGAUCAGUUCAAGUCAUACAGCAUCAGUCUACAUUGGUCGGUUUGAGUUCGAGACAGACCUAGUGGCCAUCAAGGUGUUCCAUCUUAACGAGCAAGGUUCAAGAAAUAGCUUUUUCACGGAGUGUGAAGUGCUAAAACACACCCGCCACCGCAAUCUGGUUCAAGCUAUCACCAUGUGCUCCACAGUAGAUUUCGAGGGCGAUGAGUUCAAGGCUAUUGUAUACGAGUUCAUGGCAAACGGUAGCCUGGACAUGUGGAUACACCCAAGGGUUCACGGAGGCAGCCCAAGGAGGCUACUGAGCUUGGGUCAGAGGAUACGCAUUGCUGCUGAUGUAGUUUCUGCUCUGGACUAUAUGCACAACCAGCUUACACCUCCUUUGAUUCACUGCGAUUUGAAGCCAGGCAAUGUUCUGUUGGACUACGACAUGACCUCACGCAUCGGUGACUUCGGGUCCGCCAAGUUUCUCUCUUCAGGUAUUGGUGGAUCAGAAGGCUUGGUUGGUGUCAGAGGAACGAUCGGAUAUAUUGCGCCUGAAUAUGGGAUGGGAUGCAAGAUCUCGACAGGCGGUGAUGUGUACGGUUUCGGGGUGCUGCUACUGGAGAUGCUCACGGCGAUGCGACCGACGGGCGCGCUAUGCGGCAACACCCUCAGCCUCCACAAGUAUGUCGACUUAGCUUUCCCCGAGAGGAUCGGUGAGGUUCUAGAUCCCCACAUGCCAUUCGAGGAGGAUCCGGCGGCUGCUUCCUUAUGUAUGCAGAAGUACAUUAUACCUCUGGUCAGUAUUGGCCUGACAUGUACCAUGGAAUCACCGAAAGAUAGACCUGGGAUGCACGACGUCUCUGCCAAGAUUGUUGCCAUCAAGGAGGCAUUUGUCGAAACCUUUUGA